GAUGAACGCUGGCGGCGUGCCUAAUACAUGCAAGUCGAGCGAACGGACGAGAAGCUUGCUUCUCUGAUGUUAGCGGCGGACGGGUGAGUAACACGUGGAUAACCUACCUAUAAGACUGGGAUAACUUCGGGAAACCGGAGCUAAUACCGGAUAAUAUUUUGAACCGCAUGGUUCAAAAGUGAAAGACGGUCUUGCUGUCACUUAUAGAUGGAUCCGCGCUGCAUUAGCUAGUUGGUAAGGUAACGGCUUACCAAGGCAACGAUGCAUAGCCGACCUGAGAGGGUGAUCGGCCACACUGGAACUGAGACACGGUCCAGACUCCUACGGGAGGCAGCAGUAGGGAAUCUUCCGCAAUGGGCGAAAGCCUGACGGAGCAACGCCGCGUGAGUGAUGAAGGUCUUCGGAUCGUAAAACUCUGUUAUUAGGGAAGAACAUAUGUGUAAGUAACUGUGCACAUCUUGACGGUACCUAAUCAGAAAGCCACGGCUAACUACGUGCCAGCAGCCGCGGUAAUACGUAGGUGGCAAGCGUUAUCCGGAAUUAUUGGGCGUAAAGCGCGCGUAGGCGGUUUUUUAAGUCUGAUGUGAAAGCCCACGGCUCAACCGUGGAGGGCCAUUGGAAACUGGAAAACUUGAGUGCAGGAGAGGAAAGUGGAAUUCCAUGUGUAGCGGUGAAAUGCGCAGAGAUAUGGAGGAACACCAGUGGCGAAGGCGACUUUCUGGUCUGUAACUGACGCUGAUGUGCGAAAGCGUGGGGAUCAAACAGGAUUAGAUACCCUGGUAGUCCACGCCGUAAACGAUGAGUGCUAAGUGUUAGGGGGUUUCCGCCCCUUAGUGCUGCAGCUAACGCAUUAAGCACUCCGCCUGGGGAGUACGACCGCAAGGUUGAAACUCAAAGGAAUUGACGGGGACCCGCACAAGCGGUGGAGCAUGUGGUUUAAUUCGAAGCAACGCGAAGAACCUUACCAAAUCUUGACAUCCUUUGACAACUCUAGAGAUAGAGCCUUCCCCUUCGGGGGACAAAGUGACAGGUGGUGCAUGGUUGUCGUCAGCUCGUGUCGUGAGAUGUUGGGUUAAGUCCCGCAACGAGCGCAACCCUUAAGCUUAGUUGCCAUCAUUAAGUUGGGCACUCUAAGUUGACUGCCGGUGACAAACCGGAGGAAGGUGGGGAUGACGUCAAAUCAUCAUGCCCCUUAUGAUUUGGGCUACACACGUGCUACAAUGGACAAUACAAAGGGCAGCGAAACCGCGAGGUCAAGCAAAUCCCAUAAAGUUGUUCUCAGUUCGGAUUGUAGUCUGCAACUCGACUACAUGAAGCUGGAAUCGCUAGUAAUCGUAGAUCAGCAUGCUACGGUGAAUACGUUCCCGGGUCU
rnacentral:rRNA from 1 species